rnacentral:rRNA from 1 species
CAGCCGCCGCGGGAAUACGAGGGGUGCAAGCGUUAUUCGGAUUGAUUGGAUGUAAAGGGUGUGCAGACGGCUUAUUAAGUCACUUGUUAAAUUCUUCGGCCUAACUGAAGGUCUGCAAGUGAUACUGAUGAGCUAGAGGGUGGAAGAGAGAAGUGGAAUUCUCGGAGUAACGGUAAAAUGCGUAGAUCUCGAGAGGAACACCAAUGGCGAAGGCAGCUUCUUGGUCCAUUCCUGACGUUCAUACACGAAAGCGUGGGGAGCAAACAGGAUUAGAUACCCCCGUAGUCCCUGUCUCUUAUAA